rnacentral:rRNA from 1 species
AUGGCCUCGAGGAAGCUGCUCCGCUACUUCCAAGUACAUCAGAUCACCGCCGUCACUCGCUUUCCGUUGCAACGUAUCUUGAGAAAUCCAUGUGCCACUGGCAGGAUAAUUCAGUGGGCUUGGAGCUGUCAAGCUUUGAACUCAAGUUCGAAAGUACAUCAACGGUUUAGAGUAGAGACUUGGCAGAGUUCAUUGCAGAAUGGACACCAACGCAAGACGAAGGAAUAUAAGAGACCCCUUUCCCCGACAAGGAAACAAUGCAAGACUGGAUCAUGUACUUUGAUGGAGACUUUUCGCUGCAAGGCGCCCGUGUUGGCGUGCUGCUUGUCGCACCAACCUGAGAGCACCUCAAGUAUGUAA